UAAAGAAGGAGGUGUUCCACCUCCAAGCUCUCAUUUUUCUUUCACUGACUGGAGGCAGAUGAUGAAUUUGAAGCCCUGACAAAGAGAAGGCAAAAUCAGUUUGUGUCCCUGAGUUGCUAAGUGGAGAACAAACGUCCACCAACCAGGAAACACCUGCCUCCAACUGUUAACAGGUCUGUGAAAUGUGCUUUGUUUCUGGUCAGCAUGGUCACCUGCUUUAAUAGUGGCUUCAGAUGAGGCACCUUGUGACAGAGGAGCUCUUCCCCUGCAGCAACCUUGAAGAUGUUGUGGAAGACAAUAGCCAUUCUUACUUCACUCUGAGGAUCACGAUGGCGUGCAAGGGUGUGCCAAGCACAUUGCUAUCUUUGGCCAUUCUCUCUCACAUUAGUACACCUGGAUGUGAAUGGCACGUUAUCUAUGUAAGCAGUGAUGGUCUCUAUCUGGUGGUAGAAAUGACAGAAUUACACACAAUCAGGACAGCUGAGAUUCCAUUUACUAGCUCAGUAAUCAGAGAAUAUGUAUGACAUCCCAGCAAAAAAUGUUGAACAUGUUCAGAUUUCAUCAUAUCAGCACCACAGUAUCAGUCUUACUGGGAGGUGCUUGCAUUCAGUUCCUGGCUACUGAAGAAAUUUUGCAGGAGUUCCAGAUAACUUACUUGUCCCAUAAUAAUGAAAACUAUUACAAUUAUGCUAAAGAAGAAUACUUAAUAACACAGUAAAAAUGUUUAUGAUGUCUUUUAAUUUCUAAAGCAUGUUAUAAAAGUAUUACAGUAUGAUCUCAUAUUUGUAACUAAAAUAUAUAUUAAUUCAUUUAGCAAAUAAAUAUUAAGCCCCUACUAUGCACAUACCAAUAUAGAUAUUGGUAUUUGUGUGGGUGUGUGUGUUACAGCAGAUUUUAAUUUUCUUAUUUUGUAUUUUCUGAUUUAUCUACAAUGAAUUUGUAUUAAUUUGCUAACAAAACAUCACUAUUAAAAUAAAAUUUUUUUGAAUUAUAAGAAAAGGCUAACAUCAUAACAAUAAGGUUGUAUAGAAUAAACGGACAACACAGAAGUUAUUUUGGCCCUGUGUUCCACAGUGACUCACCAAAUAUACCCUGCACUGUUUAUUUUAUUUUUUUCUAUUUCACUAUUGAAAUGAACAGAUGCAUUUCACGUCACAUGGAUCUCAUGGAAACAUGCCAAACAUUUUCUUAGCAACCAAACUCCUGUCUUCUGCACUGUGCAUGAUUAACUAAAACAGCCUGUUGACGGCUUAAAAUAAACCUGCCUUUUCCAUUUAGCAUUUUAUCAAAUGAAUAUAAUUUCAUUUGCUGAUGAAUUUAGUUCAGCUUCAAGAGAAUUUUUCUUUUCUUCAUGGGGAGGCUGAAGAAUCAGAACUGUCAUACCAAAGAAUGAAAAGCAAGCCUAGGGAGAACAAGACAGUCUGAUGUUUACAUGGGGUUAACUUAUUUGAUCAGUGAAAUCAGAAAAGGAUCAUUCUGCAUUCGUGGACUCCUCUCAUUGACACACUCGCUUACCCAUCUGAAAACAGCAACACAGUCUGGGUUCCUGAUUUGUAUCUAUUACCCUUCAUGGAAAUGGCUGGUGAAGCAAAACUAUGUGUGUAAAACUGCAUCUGCCACAGGCUGCUUGUCCACAAAAGCAGCAAAGCAUCUCUAUGGAAUACCUCCGUAUGGAUCUGUAAAGAAGAGUCCCACUUCAAUCAAAGACAGCAGAUUAUGAGGAAAUAAAUCCAUUUCUCCUGCUCCAUGUGACAGCCCUUUAAACAAUGAGGAGAAAAUGCAUUCCAGAGUAAAAAAAUGAAGAAACACUAGAAGAUCCAAGCUUUCCUUCCCCAUUUCAUCAGCCAUGGAUACUUGAUUCCAUUAUGUAAACAAGUAAAGAAUAACAAGUAAUUUUUACAAUUUAACAUUACAAAGUUUCAUUAAAAAGAUAAAAGAUUUUAUAGAAGCUGUUUUGAAUGUGUACUGAUUUGGGAUUCCAGCUCUAUAAAUGACUGAAUACAUGAAAGGAAGCAGUAAUAAAAAGAAAUGAGGGAGUGCUUAAUUAUUGCAACUUUGAAACUAUGCUAUCCAUUAUGGUAGCCACUGCCACAUACAGCUAUUGAGAAGCUUGACAAGUGGGUAGCCCAAAUUGGGAUAUGCUAUAAUUGUGAAACACACACUGGAUUUUGAGCACUUGAUUCAAAAAUAAAAAUAAUGCAAAAUAUUUCAUAAUGUUUUAUACUUACUAUCUGUAGAAAUAAUACUCAUAUAUUAUUAAAAUUAAUUUCAUUUGUUUUUUUUUUAACCUGGUUACUAGAAAAUAUAAAAUUACAUUUGUGGCUUCAUUUGUGACCUGCAUUAUAUUUCCAAUGGGCAGCAUUAGUUGAGAAUAUAAUUUUAAAGUUGAAAUGUCCAUCAUUUCAGUUUUCUUUCCCAACAUAUGUAGUUCAUGGAAUUUUGGUAUAUAUACGCUAUUAUGGGAUAUGUACUCAGCUCUUGGAAUGACAGAAACUUUAUACAUAAAAAUAAUUAUGUAUAAAGAUGAAUGUCAAUUGUUCCAAAUAUGGUUUUUAUGUACAAAAUUAUACCGCUCAUAAAACUUCAUAGAAAGAGCAACUUGUUUUAUAUGAAAAGUUAAAGCCUAAUAAGAAUCAGGAUAAAAGUUUUUAGUCAGAUAAAAAAGGGUUUCCAUAACCAACUUUCUGACAUCCUAAAACUGAGUAUAAAUUUUUUAGCAUAUUCUAUAACUACAAACUGAUCAUUAACCUGAACUUACAAAUAUUUCCAGCUUUCAUCUACCUUUUUAUUUUCAUUUUUAAAACUAUAAGACAAAAUAUUUUAAACCAUCAAGUGCUAAUAAGAGUAAGAAGAAAGAUGAUUGUUGUAUAUAUCAUUCUUCAUCUCUCCUUGUUAAGUCACUCCCAAAAAGUGGGUGGAAAAUUGCUUUUUCUUCCUUCAGGUGUUAAAAAUAAUAUGACUCAUUUUUUUAACGUAGUAAAAAUAAAUUAUGCAUCCACCAAAAAAAUCAAGAUAUGUUAAUAUUAUUGAAAAAACAAAUAAUGGAAUAAUAUAUAAUAAAUGAACAUGUAUAACCAAAACUUAUUAAAUUUUACCAUGAAAAAUUUUGAUACUGCAUGAAUUUUAUGCAAAAAAAAGUAAAGUAUGCUGAAAAUUAAGGAAGGGGAAGGAAGAAUAUGCUAUCAAACACGCAAACCCGAAAAUUCGUUUAAAAUGCUGUUUGAAUCACAUUUGUUUUGUCCCUAGGUUAGUCUAUACUGAUUGCAAUUUAGUGUUUACAGAAACUAUCAGUUUGGUCUUGUUACUUGGUCUAAGGCAGACUAAUUACCACAGAUUUUAAUUCAAAGGACAGUGUAAAACAGAAAACGGUACAAGUCAAAUUGAAGGCAAUAAUUGAAAUUUUCUGGCUGAUGCUGGAACUGUUUUUCACAGCUUUUCUCAAUUACCUUCUCAAAUAAGGUAAGGCUUACAAAGUUCAGACUCCUUAAUUGGGUGGCCUCCUAAGUUGUUUCUGGGGAAUGAAGAAAAAAAUUAAAGUAUUCCUUACCAAUACUACCCUAGGUAUUUCUUGAGACUAACAGGCAUUUUCUAAGGUUCAACCUUAAGAUCUGUUUUGUUAGUUCUUAAUUAUACAGCAAAAGUUUAAUGAGAGAUCAUGCUCUCAACUACAAAAUCAUAACAAGCUCCUCACUGAGACAGAUUUGGAGAAAGAGACCAAAAUAACAACAACAACAAAGCAUUGUACUUACAAAAAAAGAAAAAGAAAAAGGCUCCCAAUUUUUAUAAAUGGUUAGAAGUAUGGAAAUCCCUGAGGAGCUAGACUGGGGAUCCAUGAAAGAGUUUCUUUCAAAAGGAAUACAUAUUCUUUGCAGUUUUUAAUUAGCGAAUAUUAUUUUUUGAAGUAAAAAUUUAUAAAGACAAACUUAAUUAUGUCCUUGCUUAAAUCCUUUCAAUGGCUAACUAUUCGCCACAAAAACAGAGUCAAUACAUUAGCACAGGAUGCAAGGCAUUUCAUAAUGUGGUCCCUUGUUUCCCUUUUCCACCCACAAUUUUACCACUCUCGGCCUUGCAAUCUAAACUCUCACCAUUUUAAGCUACUGCUGUGCUACUUUUAUUAAUGGGUACUGUAAUUAUCUCAUUUGCCUUAUUUUUCGAUGCUGUACUUGUAAACCUUAGAUAUUUUGUUACUAACUACAAUGGGGUUUUCUUGACCAGAGAUUUAUUGAGAUGAAGAUAUUUGUAGAAUAUUACAUAGUCAAAUAUGUAUGAAGGCCUAUUUCCAUUCUAGUAACAUUUUAAUAACAAAAAUGACUUCUAAUGAUUAAUCCAGUUUCCAUUAUAACACACUUCAAAAGAAAGCAAAUUAGACCAAAGGCCCCAAUUCCAUUCCUAGGUUUAAUUUGAAUUUUUACAGUAAAUACUGUAUUACCUACAGUAAGUAAUUUUACUCAAUCUAUUAAAAAGUCCCUUAACCACUUUAUGCCGAUGCUUUUUCUACUUUCAAAAAAUGAAGAUACAAAAAGGUACAUAUGAUUUAUAAACUUUUUUGCCUUUACAGUACCUCAGAAACCCCAAGACAAGCAUUUAUUUAGGAAAAAGAAAAAACAAACUGAGAAGGCUUAGCUAUGUUUCCUUCUGUAUACUGUAUGACUUUGAAUAUAACAAAUUUAAUAGUACCAUCAAGCAACAUUUAUAUAUACUUAUAAGUAUAUAACCUAUAAAACGUAAAUCAGCCUACUUCCACGUAUACAACAACAUAUAUACUAAUAAAAGAGUUUCAUGCACACACAUUUUCCUUAAGCACUCAAAAUGAGUCUUCUAGGUCCACCAGACUCUUUUAAAGAAUGCUUACCUUGGUGAUGUACUUGGCCAUCUGAAGUUUGUCUUUUAGGAUUUUUUCUCCUAACACUUGCAGGUGAAGAACUGACCAGCGAUGAUCGGCCAGAAGACUGUGGCGUUUCAAAAUCAGAUGAGUAAGAAUAAUGGUGUUUGCCUGCCUUUCUUUCUUGAUCAGUACCUGGACUUCCUGCUCUUUCCCCCAUUGUUUUGAAAAAUGGUCUCUAUUCACAUAAUUUCACAGAUUAUUUUCUCCAGAGGAGACUACGACAAUACUGAAAAACAUUUUCACAGUCUUCAGAUCCUGAUAAUAUUCAUUUCUGUGCAAUCUAUUUUCUCCACAAUGUAUUUGUAGACCACAAUUCACAUUAGCAUCCAGAAGAUAAACUUUUUUGCCCUGAAAUUAAGGAAGGGGAAAGGAGACUUAUCAUACAGUCUCUACAGUUUCUACAGUUAAUUACAAUGAAAGACACUAAAAGCAAAAUAAUAUAUAGCUUACAAUUUUUAAAAGAGGCUACAAUUUAUCUAUAUUUUCACAGAUAAGUUACUUACAGUAUUUGGAGAAAAUACAGACUGUCAUAGCCUAGAUAGAUAAUAAGUACCUGACAUACAGCUACUUCUGAAUAAAUGUUAACUGAAGUUGACUGUGUAAUUUUAAGAGUUAUACUAGAGGCAAAUGCUGAAUUUUAACGGACAAUAAUGAUCAAAUCACCAGUUUUUUCUUUUUUAGGCAGGGAGGCAGUGGGAGUGGAAGUAGUGGUGAUAGUAAAGAACAAACCUGCUAAUAAGAAUAAAUACACUUUGGGAGGCUGAGGCGGGCAGAUCAUGAGGUCAAGAAACCAACAAGGUGAAACCCCAUCUCCACUAAAAAUACAAAAAUUGGCUGGGCAUGGUGGCACACGCCUGUAGUCCCAGCUACUCAGGAGGCUGAGGCAGGAGAAUCGCUCGAACCCAGGAGGCCGAGGUUGCAGUUAGCCAAGAUGGCGCCACUGAACUCCAGCCUGGUGACAGAAUGAGACUCCAUCUCAAAAAAAAAAAAAAAAAAAAGAAUAAAGAAUAAAAAUAUCCAAGAUUGACCACACAAAAAAUGUAUAACUAAAGUACAUUUUUUAAAAACUAAAAGAAAAAAUACUUGAUGAGAAACAUUUGCAAACAUGACAAAAAAUUAUCAUCUUCAAUACAUAAAUAUAUCAUCCUUUGAGAAAAAUAUGAGGUAAAACAAUUAAAUGGGCAAAAUAUAUAAGACUCCAAAAAGGCAACAUAAAUUAUUAAAUAUUUUUCGAAAUAAUAACACUUAAUGCUGUCAGAGUUGCUAUCAGAAAAAGAUCCCUAGAGUUUUUUUGGAAAAACACUGGCAAAAUGUAUUGUCACUUUAAUUAUGCUUUAACCUUUGAUACAAUAAUUUCUGGACUCCAAUAAAAUAAUGCUAAAAUUAGGAGAAAAGUUAUGUGCAAAUAUUUAAUGUAGUACAGUACUUUUUUUUUAAUGGAAGCAAAUUAAAUGCCUAAUCAUUGAGGAAUAAUUAUGUAUUUUAUAAAUCCAUACAGUAAAAUAUCAUGAAGCUACUGAUGUUUACAAAAAGUUUGUAUUUAAGGAAAAUGCUUAUACUAUUAUCAUAAAGAAAAAAUUCAAAUUGGUGCAUACAGUAUGAUCUCAACUACACACAUUCAUUUAAAAAAUACUGAAAAUACUAUUAUCCCUAUCUGAAUUCAGAAACUGAAAACAUUUUCCAAGCAAGGAAUACAAGAACACCAAAAUAGUGCCUGCCUGACAACAUGGAUUUUAGAUAAUUUUAUCUCUCCAUUAACAUAUUCUGGUUUUCUAACACAACAAAAUUGGAUUACUUUUAUAAUCCAAUUUAGAAGAAACAAAUAUCUCUGAUGAAAUUAGUAUUAAAAGUAUCGUUCUUCUAGUAAUAACAUAUGAAAGGACAUGCACAAGGCAGCACUAUUUAUUGUAGCACUAUUGUAAGUAGAAAACUAAAACAAUAAAAUGACCAAUAAGAACUGGUCUUACAAACUAUAAACAUCCACACAAUGAAGUAUAUGUAAUACUAUGAAGCUAUUAGAGGAAUGAAGACUAUCUCUGUGUAUUGCUCAUAGUCUGGCAUAAUCUCUAGGAUAUACAGAGAAAAGAAAUAUGGAAAAAAGCCUGCAGUAUGCUACCAUUUAUCAAGGAAGAAGGGUAACAUACAUAAUUUUUAUAUAUUUAAGUAGAAGGAGAAAUCAAAUAAUUAAGAAAAAUAAAAUGGGUUCGCUAGGGUAGGGCUGUCCAACAGAACUUUCAGCCAGGAUGGAAAUGUUCUAUAAUCUGUGCUGUUCAAGAUGGUGGCUGGCCACAUGUGGCUAUCAAGCACUUGAGAUGUUGCUGGUGUAACUGAAGAACUAAUUUUUAAUUUUAUUUAAUUUUAAUUAAUUUUAAUUUAAGAAGCCACAUGUGCUGGUAGUUAGCUUACUAAACAACACUACUGCUACAGGGGAAGGAAGGAAGCAGAGUUUAGGGAAAGGGAUAGAAGCUAGGUUUCUUUGUAUAUAAUUUUUGUAGAUUUAACAUUGGAAAUUACAAUUUUUAGAAAUGAGAUUUUUGAAAAGCAAUUCCCAUAAAUCAAAAUAAAAUUAGAUAAAUCAAUCUACAUACAUGGUUGGUGGUAAAACCACACAAAUUAACCAGUUCGAAUGACUUUAAAACACAAUAACUUGACUUUAUAUUCCUAGUGAGACAUAAUGACCAAAAAAAAUUUUUAAAGCCAUUCCAAUAAUCAUAUUUUGCUACUCAGAUAUUUUAUUCUCAGACUUAUACACAUGUACUGUGAAAUAAAACAAAUGAGUAAUUAUUAUUGGUGCAGCUGGGCACUAGAAUUUUCAACAUGGAAGAAGUAAAGAUAAACUAAUGUGAGUUUUAAAACUUUGACAUUCAAAAUUUGAAUUAUGAGUGUCAGUAUGAAUUUAUGAUGGCUUUUAUUUAUUUAAAAAAAACUUCUUCACUUUGUCCACUGAAAAAUCCCAGAAACAAGGAAAAAACUAGGAACAUUCCUAGAACCCAGAUCUAGUGUCCAUAUGCCACUUCCCAUUGAAAGAAGCUAAAGUUCCUUGUGAAAUGCCUGAUUCCAUUUCUGAGGGAGGAAACACACAAAAUAAAUCUAAGAAUAUAGCAACCUGGUCAUCCUAGAAAGCAAGGACGCUAUCAGAUACUACUGAUGGAGUGUCAGUCAAAUGGACUCAGGAGCCAACUUCAAGGAACUACUUGCCAAAGACAAGGCAAAUUUGUUAUCAAUACGAAUUAUAUCGGCAAACGAUUUAAACAUAUCAAAAGUGUUUAAAUCCUUGAGUUCAUAUGAUAUAUUUUACAAAAACCUAAUUAUUCACCUUUGGAAGAUUCUAGGAAACCAUCUCAUUUAAUUAAAAAAUUUAUAUAUAAAAAAAAUCACACAUGCAUCUUGCCUAUACUCUUAAAAAGCUAUUAUCUGAAAAUAACAAAAUAUUAGAUGGGGGGAAGUAUUUCUUUAUGGAAUUAUUCCAGUUAACAAAUAAAAAAUAAAAUAUUAAAAUGACAGAAUUAGACGAGUGACAUUUCACAACUCCUAAUGAAACAAUGAAGCUAUAUAAUGAUCAUAAAUGGCUGUAUUGCUACAGAAAAGUAACAGCCAGACACCAUGUCUCUGAUAGGACACAAUGAUACUUCUGAAGUAAUCUCCCCUCCUCCCCACAAAAAUUAAAUCUGAAUCUACUGAAGCCUCUAAAUGUAAAUGACACUGAAAGUAGGAGAGAGAUCGAGGUACAAAGAAGCAAUCAGAAAAAAUCCAGACUGUAGCAAACUCUACAGGAAAAACUAGAUUCUUUAAUGAAGAAAUUGCAAGCAGAACAAGAGAGAGGAGAGAAGAGGGUAUUUAUAUAAUAAGAAAGUCUAGAGAAACAACCACCAAGUGCAAUCCAUGGACAGUAUUUCACUCCUGAUUACAAUAAAUUGUAUUAAAAAAUUAUAAUCAAGAAAAUUUAAACACUAUUUAUUGUUAUUAGAGACAGAGUUUUGCUCUGUUGCCUAGACUGGAGUGCAGUGGCAUGAUCAUGGCUUACUGCAACCUUGAACUCCUGGGCUCAGGCAAUCCUCCCACCUCCUGAGUAGCCAGAACUACAGGCGUGCGCCACCACGCCCAGCCCUGACCACAUAUUUAAUAUUAAGGAAUUAUAUUGUUUUAGGUGAGAUAUUGAUACUGUCUUUUUUUUUAAAAAAAGAAUCUUUAUCUUUUAGAGAUAUAUGUUCAAAUAUUUAUAAAUAAAAUUGUCUGGGAUUCGCUUCAAAAUUAACCCAAAGGAAAAUGGGUAAGGGUAAAGAUUAUACAAAAUUGACUGUGAGUUGAUGAUUAUGUAAACUGAUAGAAGACUUUUGAAUUAAUUAUUCUAAUAUUUCCAAUUCUGUAUUUGUUUGAUAUUUUCUUUAGAAGAAAUAUUUUAAAAAGCAACAAAAAACACAACUUUGAUUUUA